rnacentral:piRNA from 1 species
UACUGAGAUCAGUAGAAAUCAUCGCUAC